ACUCCUACGGGAGGCAGCAGUGGGGAAUAUUGCACAAUGGGCGCAAGCCUGAUGCAGCCAUGCCGCGUGUGUGAAGAAGGCCUUCGGGUUGUAAAGCACUUUCAGUGGGAGGAAGGAUUGAUGGUUAAUACCUAUCAGCUGUGACGUUACCCACAGAAGAAGCACCGGCUAACUCCGUGCCAGCAGCCGCGUUAAUACGGAGGGUGCAAGCGUUAAUCGGAAUUACUGGGCGUAAAGCGUGCGCAGGCGGUCUGUUAAGCGAGAUGUGAAAG
rnacentral:rRNA from 1 species